rnacentral:snRNA from 1 species
CAAAAGAUAUAAAAUGAAUCU